CGGAGGCAGCAGUGGGGAAUAUUGGGCAAUGGGCGCAAGCCUGACCCAGCCAUGCCGCGUGAGUGAUGAAGGCCUUCGGGUCGUAAAGCUCUGUGGGGAGGGAAGAAACCGGACGUGGAUAAUACCCACGGCUCUUGACGGUACCUCCUUAGCAAGCACCGGCUAACUCCGUGCCAGCAGCCGCGGUAAUACGGAGGGUGCAAACGUUGCUCGGAAUCAUUGGGCGUAAAGCGCACGUAGGCGGCCUGUUAAGUCGGGUGUGAAAGCCCUGGGCUCAACCCAGGAAGUGCACUCGAAACUGGCGGGCUUGAAUAUGGAAGAGGGUCGCGGAAUUCCCGGUGUAGAGGUGAAAUUCGUAGAUAUCGGGAGGAACACCAGUGGCGAAGGCGGCGACCUGGGCCAAUAUUGACGCUGAGGUGCGAAAGCGUGGGGAGCAAACAGGAUUAGAUACCCCCGUAGUCC
rnacentral:rRNA from 1 species